rnacentral:misc_RNA from 1 species
GUGAAUCAUCGAAUUUUUGAACGCAAAUUGCACUCUCUGGUAUUCCGGAGAGUAUGCCUGUUUGAGGGUCAGAUUAAAUAAAAAUCGGUGUGGUUGCUGCCUUUCGUGGUGACGCACCGGAUUUGGGUCGUCUUGCCUUAGGUUACGUAACCUUAUAUUUUGCGUGUUUUUUUUCGUUCGUAUUUAAAUU